CGGGUUGUAAAGCACUUUCAGUGAGGAAGAAAGCCUUGAGGUUAAUACCCUCGAGGGAGGACAUCACUCACAGAAGAAGCACCGGCUAACUCCGUGCCAGCAGCCGCGGUAAUACGGAGGGUGCGAGCGUUAAUCGGAAUUACUGGGCGUAAAGCGCGCGUAGGCGGCUUGAUAAGCCGGUUGUGAAAGCCCCGGGCUCAACCUGGGAACGGCAUCCGGAACUGUCAGGCUAGAGUGCAGGAGAGGAAGGUAGAAUUCCCGGUGUAGCGGUGAAAUGCGUAGAGAUCGGGAGGAAUACCAGUGGCGAAGGCGGCCUUCUGGACUGACACUGACGCUGAGGUGCGAAAGCGUGGGUAGCAAACAGGAUUAGAUACCCUGGUAGUCCACGCCGUAAACGAUGUCGACUAGCCGUUGGGCUCCUUGAGAGCUUUGUGGCGCAGUUAACGCGAUAAGUCGACCGCCUGGGGAGUACGGCCGCAAGGUUAAAACUCAAAUGAAUUGACGGGGGCCCGCACAAGCGGUGGAGCAUGUGGUUUAAUUCGAUGCAACGCGAAGAACCUUACCUACCCUUGACAUCGAGAGAACUUUCCAGAGAUGGAUUGGUGCCUUCGGGAACUCUCAGACAGGUGCUGCAUGGCUGUCGUCAGCUCGUGUUGUGAAAUGUUGGGUUAAGUCCCGUAACGAGCGCAACCCUUGUCCCUAUUUGCCAGCGAUUCGGUCGGGAACUCUAGGGAGACUGCCGGUGACAAACCGGAGGAAGGUGGGGACGACGUCAAGUCAUCAUGGCCCUUACGGGUAGGGCUACACACGUGCUACAAUGGCCGGUACAAUGGGUUGCGAAUCCGCGAGGUGGAGCUAAUCCCAUAAAGCCGGUCUCAGUCCGGAUCGGAGUCUGCAACUCGACUCCGUGAAGUCGGAAUCGCUAGUAAUCGUGAAUCAGAAUGUCACGGUGAAUACGUUCCCGGGCCUUGUACACACCGCCCGUCACACCAUGGGAGUGGACUGCACCAGAAGUGGUUAGCCUAACUUCGGAGGGCGAUCACCACGGUGUGGUUCAUGACUGGGGUGAAGUCGUAACAAGGUAGCCGUAGGGGAACCUGCGGCUGGAUCACCUCCUUAAAC
rnacentral:rRNA from 1 species